UACGUAGGGGGCAAGCGUUGUCCGGAUUUAUUGGGCGUAAAGAGCUCGUAGGUGGUUCGGUAAGUCGGAUGUGAAAUCUCCAGGCUCAACCUGGAGGGGUCAUUCGAUACUGCCGUGACUAGAGUUCGGUAGGGGAGACUGGAAUUCCUGAUGUAGCGGUGAAAUGCGCAGAUAUCAGGAGGAACACCGGUGGCGAAGGCGGGUCUCUGGGCCGAUACUGACGCUGAGGAGCGAAAGCGUGGGGAGCGAACAGG
rnacentral:rRNA from 1 species